AAUGUUUAGUGGAGAAUGCUUACAAAACAUAUGUACAAUAUACAUAGUAUAUUAAGUCCGACAAAGAGUAUAAUCAUUGCGCUUCAUGCAAAAAAAAAUCUGAUACCAAUAACGAAAGGAGAAUCAACGUUGUCCAUCGGACAAAACGUUUAGUAGUGAAUAAAAAAUAAUUUUCAACUAGUUUUAAAAUUUUAAGUGAUAAGUGGC